UACGGAGGGGCAAGCGUUGUCCGGAUUAUUGGGCGUAAAGAGCGUGUAGGCGGCCAGGUAGGUCUGCUGUGAAAACUCGAGGCUCAACCUCGAGACGUCGGCGGAAACCAUCUGGCUAGAGUCCGGAAGAGGAGAGUGGAAUUCCUGGUGUAGCGAUGAAAUGCGCAGAUAUCAGGAAGAACACCCGUGGCGAAGGCGGCUCUCUGGGACGGGUACUGACGCUGAGACGCGAAAAGCGUGGGGAGCGAACAGG
rnacentral:rRNA from 1 species